UCUGGGGGCUGUGAUUUUGGGCAGCAGCAGGGAGGCAGCAGCACCUGCUGCCAGCCACCCCCGAGCCUGAGCGAGGCUGCCCGCAGACCGCAGGCAGCGGAGAGGGAGGGCAGGCGAGCAGGCUCCCCUUGCAAAGUCUGUCCUGUGCUGUCUAAUAACACAAGGUGUCAUUGUAUACCCAAAUCAGUGCCUGGAGCUUUAUUUAUAACAACUGAAACACAAAACCCAGCAGGCCAGAAACGGCAAAGGGAGCGAGAGUCCAGGGAGGGCAGGGACGCAGCCGGGCGAAAUCUCCCUGUUUAGCAGGAUUUGCCUUGAGAUUUUCAAGUCGGAUUGAGGCUGGAGGGGGACUCGGGAGGAGGAAAAAAAGAUGAAAGGAAGGGAAGAGGGAGCAGGCAGAGCAGCGAUGCCUCCCUGGCUGCGGCAAGGCGGCGGGGCUGUGUCCCUGAGCGGAGUCAUGGGAAUGCUCUGCUCGCAGCCCCCCGCCAGCCAGCAAAGGAAGGUGGGGGGAGGCUCCAGCUCCCCUGGGACUCUCUGCCUUCUACAGCAACUCUUUUUAAAGGUUAUUUGUGGCUCUUUAGCCACUUCUCAUCCCAGGAAGAGCGUUGCAGCUCAACAGCUGGCUCCAGUGGACUCCCUCUUGCACUGGAAUAGGCUGUGGCUGGGGACUUGGCAGGAGCCAUCCCAAAGGGACCUGCCCAGCCCAGCAGGCAGCAGUCCCAGCACGCUCCUUCAGGUGUGGCUCCCAUCAAACCCAAUGCCAGCGGCUUGCACGACCCCGCACCUGCGAGAGGCUGAGCACCCCGAACUCUUGCUGAACUCGGUGGGAGCAGGGGCAGCUCAGCAGCGAAAGGUCCCAGCUCUGCACUUACAGCAUCGGGAGAUGUGCUCUCCUCGGGCGGGUCCAGAUGUUCCCACCACCGCUGCCACCCCCGGCAGCUCGUUCAUCUGCUCCCUUGUGCCGGAGGCUCCCGCUGCCGGCGCAGCGCCGGUGGAACAGCUCUCGCACUCUCCUCCGAGGCUCCUGGGCAAAGGCUGGCAGCUCUGCCUAAACCCCCUCUCCCCAGCAGCUGGAAGGAAGCCGCUGCCAGACUUUGCGCUGAAGCGGCUGAGGUGGGAGCAUUCAUGUCCCAUUCUUCUGGCACAGCGUGGAGGUGGAACCUACUUGGGAACAGCAAAGUGACACCAAAAGGAUCACAAUGACAUUUACCUGAAGUAGAUAAAAGCAGCCUUGAAUUUAAUCCAAAUGAGCCCACGUGCAAAAUACUGUCUUGGAGCUGGACACUUUGAGGUUUGGAACUCCAGGCAGACAAGCGGGGCAAGAGAGGUUUGAAAUAUAAAUCAAU
rnacentral:lncRNA from 1 species